GUCCUGGUCGCUUAAUGGUAAAGCGCCUUAUUGAAGCUAAUGAGAUAGUGAUUCGAAUUCAUUCCGGGACA
rfam:Phlebia centrifuga strain FBCC195 PHLCENscaffold_2975, whole genome shotgun sequence.